GCACACCAGGCGAGAAUAGUCUACAAUGGACGAAAGUCUGAUAGUGCGACGCCGUGUGUGCGAUUAAUUCCUUCGGGAUGUAAAGCACUUUUCUAUGAGAUAAAAGCUCUUUAGGUUAAUAGCUUAUUGAGACGGAUAUUAUUAUAGGAAUAAGCUCCGGCUAACUCCGUGCCAGCAGCCGCGGUAAUACGGAAGGAGCGAGCGUUGUCCGGAUUUACUAGGCGUAAAGGGCUAGUAGGCGACUAAUUAAGUUAUAUGUUAAAUCCCACGGCUCAACUGUGGUCCUGCAUGUAAUACUGGUUAGAUAGAGUACUGUAGAGGAAGGCAGAAUUCCUGGAGUAGCGGUGGAAUGCGCAG
rnacentral:rRNA from 1 species